GUCGAGGGGUAACAGAGAAGCUUGCUUCUGCUGACGACCGGCGCACGGGUGCGUAACGCGUAUGCAACCUACCUCAUACUGGAGAAUAGCCCUUGGAAACGAGGAUUAAUACUCCAUGGUAUCAUUCUUUCGCAUGUUAGAAUGAUUAAAGAAUUUCGGUAUGAGAUGGGCAUGCGUCCCAUUAGCUUGUUGGUGAGGUAACGGCUCACCAAGGCAACGAUGGGUAGGGGGCCUGAGAGGGUGGUCCCCCACACUGGUACUGAGACACGGACCAGACUCCUACGGGAGGCAGCAGUGAGGAAUAUUGGUCAAUGGAGGCAACUCUGAACCAGCCAUGCCGCGUGAAGGAUGACGGCCCUAUGGGUUGUAAACUUCUUUUAUAUGGGAAGAAACUUAUCUACGUGUAGAUAACUGACGGUACCAUACGAAUAAGGAUCGGCUAACUCCGUGCCAGCAGCCGCGGUAAUACGGAGGAUCCAAGCGUUAUCCGGAUUCAUUGGGUUUAAAGGGUCCGUAGGCGGAUUUUUAAGUCAGUGGUGAAAGCCGACAGCUCAACUGUCGAACUGCCAUUGAUACUGGAAAUCUUGAGUACAAAUGAAGUAGGCGGAAUGAGUCAUGUAGCGGUGAAAUGCAUAGAUAUGACUCAGAACACCGAUUGCGAANGCAGCUUACUAACAUGUAACUGACGCUGANGGACGAAAGCGUGGGGAGCGAGCAGNAUUAGAUACCCUGGUAGUCCACGCCGUAAACGAUCAUCACUCGCUGUUGGCNAUAUACUGUCAGCGGCCAAGCGAAAGUAUUNAGUGAUGCACNUGGGGNAGUACGCCNNCAACGGNGAAACUCAAA
rnacentral:rRNA from 1 species